GGUGGUUCUUGGGUGACACACCCCAGAAUCAGGCUCCCUCCUCUCUGGUUCUGGGUGCGUUACCUGAAAACCCA
rfam:Myotis davidii contig198365, whole genome shotgun sequence.